rnacentral:rRNA from 1 species
UACGUAGGGGGCAAGCGUUGUCCGGAUUUAUUGGGCGUAAAGAGCGUGUAGGCGGCCGUACAGGUCAGCUGUGAAAACUCGAGGCUCAACCUCGAGACGUCGGUUGAAACCGUACGGCUAGAGUCCGGAAGAGGAGAGUGGAAUUCCCGGUGUAGCGGUGAAAUGCGCAGAUAUCGGGAAGAACACCCGUGGCGAAGGCGGGUCUCUGGGCAGUAACUGACGCUGAGGAGCGAAAGCGUGGGGAGCGAACAGG